CCUACGGGAGGCAGCAGUAGGGAAUAUUGCUCAAUGGGGGAAACCCUGAAGCAGCAACGCCGCGUGGAGGAUGAAGGUUUUCGGAUUGUAAACUCCUUUUGUUAGAGAAGAUAAUGACGGUAUCUAAAGAAUAAGCACCGGCUAACUCCGUGCCAGCAGCCGCGGUAAUACGGAGGGUGCAAGCGGUACUCGGGAGCAAUGGGCGUAAAGAGCGCGUAGGCGGGAUAGCAAGUCAGAUGGGAAAUCCUGGAGCUUAAAUAGAGAACUGCAUUUGAAACUGUUGGGCUGGAGUGUGGGAGAGGUCGGUGGAAAUCUGGGUGUAGGGGUAAAAUCCGUAGAGAUCAAGAGGAAGA
rnacentral:rRNA from 1 species